GACGAACGCUGGCGGCGUGCCUAAUACAUGCAAGUAGAACGCUGAAGAGAAGAGCUUGCUCUUCUUGGAUGAGUUGCGAACGGGUGAGUAACGCGUAGGUAACCUGCCUGGUAGCGGGGGAUAACUAUUGGAAACGAUAGCUAAUACCGCAUAAAAUUGAUUAUUGCAUGAUAAUUAAUUGAAAGAUGCAAUUGCAUCACUACCAGAUGGACCUGCGUUGUAUUAGCUAGUUGGUGAGGUAACGGCUCACCAAGGCGACGAUACAUAGCCGACCUGAGAGGGUGAUCGGCCACACUGGGACUGAGACACGGCCCAGACUCCUACGGGAGGCAGCAGUAGGGAAUCUUCGGCAAUGGGGGGAACCCUGACCGAGCAACGCCGCGUGAGUGAAGAAGGUUUUCGGAUCGUAAAGCUCUGUUGUAAGAGAAGAACGGGUGUGAGAGUGGAAAGUUCACACUGUGACGGUAUCUUACCAGAAAGGGACGGCUAACUACGUGCCAGCAGCCGCGGUAAUACGUAGGUCCCGAGCGUUGUCCGGAUUUUAUGGGCGUAAAGCGAGCGCAGGCCGUUAGAUAAGUCUGAAGUUAAGGCUGUGGCUUAACCCUAGUAUGCUUUGGAAACUGUUUAACUUGAGUGCAGAAGGGGAGAGUGGAAUUCCAUGUGUAGCGGUGAAAUGCGUAGAUAUAUGGAGGAACACCGGUGGCGAAAGCGGCUCUCUGGUCUGUAACUGACGCUGAGGCUCGAAAGCGUGGGGAGCAGACAGGAUUAGAUACCCUGGUAGUCCACGCCGUAAACGAUGAGUGCUAGGUGUUAGGCCCUUUCCGGGGCUUAGUGCCGCAGCUAACGCAUUAAGCACUCCGCCUGGGGAGUACGACCGCAAGGUUGAAACUCAAAGGAAUUGACGGGGGCCCGCACAAGCGGUGGAGCAUGUGGUUUAAUUCGAAGCAACGCGAAGAACCUUACCAGGUCUUGACAUCCCUCUGACCGCUCUAGAGAUAGACUUUUCCUUCGGGACAGAGGUGACAGGUGGUGCAUGGUUGUCGUCAGCUCGUGUCGUGAGAUGUUGGGUUAAGUCCCGCAACGAGCGCAACCCCUAUUGUUAGUUGCCAUCAUUCAGUUGGGCACUCUAGCGAGACUGCCGGUAAUAAACCGGAGGAAGGUGGGGAUGACGUCAAAUCAUCAUGCCCCUUAUGACCUGGGCUACACACGUGCUACAAUGGCUGGUACAACGAGUCGCAAGCCGGUGACGGCAAGCUAAUCUCUGAAAGCCAGUCUCAGUUCGGAUUGUAGGCUGCAACUCGCCUACAGGAAGUCGGAAUCGCUAGUAAUCGCGGAUCAGCACGCCGCGGAGGGGACGUUCCCGGGCCU
rnacentral:rRNA from 1 species